UUAAUUCGAAGCAACGCGCAGAACCUUACCAGCUCUUGACAUUCGGGGUUUGGGCAGUGGAGACAUUGUCCUUCAGUUAGGCUGGCCCCAGAACAGGUGCUGCAUGGCUGUCGUCAGCUCGUGUCGUGAGAUGUUGGGUUAAGUCCCGCAACGAGCGCAACCCUCGCCCUUAGUUGCCAGCAUUUAGUUGGGCACUCUAAGGGGACUGCCGGUGAUAAGCCGAGAGGAAGGUGGGGAUGACGUCAAGUCCUCAUGGCCCUUACGGGCUGGGCUACACACGUGCUACAAUGGUGGUGACAGUGGGCAGCGAGACAGCGAUGUCGAGCUAAUCUCCAAAAGCCAUCUCAGUUCGGAUUGCACUCUGCAACUCGAGUGCAUGAAGUUGGAAUCGCUAGUAAUCG
rnacentral:rRNA from 1 species